rnacentral:snRNA from 1 species
CAACUCUCUCUGUAUGAGUGACA